GGGUCCUUAGCUCAGCGGUGAGAGCGUCUGGUUUACACCCAGAAGGCCGGUGGUUCGAGUCCACCAGGACCCACCA
rnacentral:tRNA from 1 species